AGAAAGCGCUACUGCGGAGUGAACCGGUCCUUAUAUCUUAGUUUCGUGACUUUGGGGGCGGCAGGCCUGUGAGUUGUUUUCCGCCCUGGACGCUGUUUUGCAAAGAUCUCUGCGCGCCCACCGCCACCCUCCCGGGCGUGCGGGCCGGGAAGCAGCCAGCGGUGGGAAACUCCGACGCCCUCCUCGACACUUUUCUCCCCCCAACUCCCCAAGACUCACUUCUAGGGAAGUCCUUUUUCCCAUCAAGCCCUGGGAAAGACUGGCCAGGCUGAGAGAGGGACCCGUCCUCCUCUGUGCCAAAGGCGGGAGCAAAUCCUGGUGCUGUCGCCUUUGGAUGUGAGUCCUGGAAAUGGCGGGGGUGAGGAAGGUGGGCAGGGGCAAGGUUUGGCCCUCAGGCGAGAACCGACGCCUUGUCCCGGAAGCGCAGCACGGCCGAGUGCGUCCGGGGGUGCAGACGGCGCCCUGGGGUGGUCCUGCCGCCACCUCUCCUUUGACUCAGGAGCGCCGCGCCGCGUCCGGGCGCGUUCUCAGUCGCGCGAAGCCAGAGAGGACCCUGGGCGUGAUUCUCCCUCCCUGGCACAGACGGAGACCCGAGUGACCCCGGGGUCCGGGUGGGCGUGGGGAAUGGACCCAUAGACCCGGGACGAGCGGCGCGGAGCCCGCAGCUGGCCAGCUUCAGCCACCUUGGGAGACGCAGUGCAGCUGCCGCUGCUGACAGACAAGACCAAGGCUCGGCUGGGCCCCACCCCAGAUCCGGCCUGAGCGCCUUCCGCGCUGCUCGGCCUCAAGGCGUGAGUCACCAAGGGCAAGUCCCGUGACUUGGUCCUCAGGGUCUCCGGCCUCGGCACAUUAAUCUUCAGACCCGGCUUUUUCGACGCCGAGCUGCCGCCCAGCCCCAAUGGCAGGGCCUUCCAGGGAGUCCCAGUCAGACUGCUCCCCAGCUCCCGCAGCUGCUCGGUCCCUGCAAAGCCCCCGGGAGCGUUUCUACUCUCCCCUGAGCCCACGCCAUCCCGUCACUCCUAGGAAACUUUUCGCGCAGAAACUCCUGGAGAACAGCCCCGGCCGCCAGGUACUCGCCCGCCCGGACCGCAAAGCCCACAGAGCUUCAAUUCGCAGGAAGGGGAGUGGGGAGCCCUGAGCUGGGGUGUUCCUGGAAGAGGUCGGGGAGCGGGGGGAGAGGCAUUCCAGGCUGGAGGCCUGGAAACGUUUGGAAGCUUUGCUAACCUUGGAGACCAUGUCAGGAAAGAAGCGUACCCAGGCCGUCUGCUGUGUGCCCACCCCGAUCCCCAUCAGUGCCCCACGCACUCGAGCUCUUCUUCGGCGUCUGCAGCCUCUUCAUCCGCGCGGAGAGGCGGAGGUCUCCCGGAAACAGUGUCCGACUGUGGCACCCCAGAGCGUCCAAUGCGAGCUCAGGCCUUUCCCGCAAGUCUGGAGUUUUCUUAUCCAGUUGAGGCCGCCUUCGCUGUACUCACUCUCUGCCUCCCACCCCAUCUUCUGCCACCCGACCUCCAUCUUUGAUGGUUAGCGCCUUCAGCCCUCAACAGCUUCGCACAACCAACCCCUAGAAGCCGUGGAGUCAGACCGGCCAGGGUGGGACCUAGGUUUUAACUCGGGUUCUGGCUACACACGCUGCGCCUCCAUACAGUUUGUCCCAGGUUUGGCAGCAGGCCGGCUACCUUCAGGAAUUCUUUGCUUUGGCUUCUGUCUGUUCCUGUCUGUUGGGCAAGUUUCUAGCUACCCCACUGAGAGAACCAUAGAACAAGGACCCUGGCAUGGCAUACAGA
rnacentral:lncRNA from 1 species